AAAUCUUCAAAGUAAAAUCUUUUGUUAAUUCAAUUGGUUUUGCCUUGGUCUUGGAGGUCUUUGCAGCUUCACACCUGCUCCUCUUUGUGUAUUAGCUGGAUCUCAGUGUUAUGCUUGGUUCCACUCGGCGUGAUAAGUUAUCUAUCGCUGAGGACACUGUAAUAGGUGGCCAAGGGAAACGCAGAUGAACCGCUUCUAAUAGUCCAUUGACUUGGACACUAUUUUUUAUG
rnacentral:misc_RNA from 1 species